AUAGUCGGAUUCAUAUCAAUCCAUAUGUGUUGGAGUGGAUUAGAGUGAAAUUUGAACUAAAUUCCACACAUCAAUACACUUCGACACAUGUGGAUUAAGGUAAAUAUGAUA
rnacentral:pre_miRNA from 1 species